GGAAGUAAAAGUCGUAACAAGGUCUCCGUUGGUGAACCGGCGGAGGGAUCAUUAUAGAACACCCCGGCCUUCAACCCCUGUGAACUUACCUUAUUAUUCUCCGGCCCCGGUGCCUUCGGGGCGGAUCAGGCGCCCGCCGGGGUAAACAAAAACCGUAUUUGUACCCUGUAUACCUCAGAAUUAGGCGUAAAGCCGAUUAAUAAAUAACAACUUUUGACAAUGGAUCUCUUGGCACUGGCAUCGAUGAAGAACGCAGCGAAAUGCGAUAAGUAAUGUGAAUUGCAGAGCACAGUGAAUCAUCGAAUCUUUGAACGCACAUGGCGCCCGCCGGUAAUCCGGUGGGCAUGCCUGUCCGAGCGUCAUUUCAACCCUCAGACCUCUCUCGGUACUGGGGGAUGGAGCCCGCGGCGCCCCUCAAAUUGGCGGCUCCGGAGUCUGUCUCCCCUGCGUAGUAUUGCAUCUCGCUUUGGGACUUCUUCGGGCUGCUGUGGCUAUGCAACGAAACCCUCUAGGUUGACCUCGGAUCAGGUAGGGAUACCCGCUGAACUUAAGCAUAUCAAUAAGCGGAGGA
rnacentral:rRNA from 1 species